rnacentral:rRNA from 1 species
UACGUAGGGGGCAAGCGUUGUCCGGAUUCAUUGGGCGUAAAGAGCUCGUAGGCGGUGUGUCACGUCGGCCGUGAAAACCUGCAGCUUAACUGUGGGCGUGCGGUCGAUACGGGCAUCACUGGAGUUCGGCAGGGGAGACUGGAAUUCCUGGUGUAGCGGUGGAAUGCGCAGAUAUCAGGAGGAACACCGGUGGCGAAGGCGGUUCUCUGGGCAUUACCUGACGCUGAGGAGCGAAAGUGUGGGGAGCGAACAGG